GAUGAACGCUGGCGGCGUGCCUAAUACAUGCAAGUCGAGCGAGCAGAUGAGAAGCUUGCUCCUCUGACGUUAGCGGCGGACGGGUGAGUAACACGUGGAUAACCUACCUAUAAGACUGGGAUAACUUCGGGAAACCGGAGCUAAUACCGGAUAAUAUAUUGAACCGCAUGGUUCAAUAGUGAAAGACGGUUUUGCUGUCACUUAUAGAUGGAUCCGCGCUGCAUUAGCUAGUUGGUAAGGUAACGGCUUACCAAGGCAACGAUGCAUAGCCGACCUGAGAGGGUGAUCGGCCACACUGGAACUGAGACACGGUCCAGACUCCUACGGGAGGCAGCAGUAGGGAAUCUUCCGCAAUGGGCGAAAGCCUGACGGAGCAACGCCGCGUGAGUGAUGAAGGUCUUCGGAUCGUAAAACUCUGUUAUUAGGGAAGAACAAAUGUGUAAGUAACUAUGCACGUCUUGACGGUACCUAAUCAGAAAGCCACGGCUAACUACGUG
rnacentral:rRNA from 1 species